rnacentral:tRNA from 1 species
GGACUGUAGUUCAGUGGUAGAGCACUUGCCUGGCAUGUGUGAGGCACUGGGUUCCAUUCUCAGCACCA